GUGGGGAAUAUUGCACAAUGGGGGAAACCCUGAUGCAGCGACGCCGCGUGAGCGAUGAAGUAUUUCGGUAUGUAAAGCUCUAUCAGCAGGGAAGAAUUAGGACGGUACCUGACUAAGAAGCCCCGGCUAACUACGUGCCAGCAGCCGCGGUAAUACGUAGGGGGCAAGCGUUAUCCGGAUUUACUGGGUGUAAAGGGAGCGUAGACGGUGUGGCAAGCCAGAUGUGAAAGCCCGAGGCUCAACCCCGGGACUGCAUUUGGAACUGUCAGACUGGAGUGUCGGAGAGGCAGGCGGAAUUCCUAGUGUAGCGGUGAAAUGCGUAGAUAUUAGGAGGAACACCAGUGGCGAAGGCGGCCUGCUGGACUGUAACUGACGUUGAGGCUCGAAAGCGUGGGGAGCAAACAGGA
rnacentral:rRNA from 1 species